rnacentral:rRNA from 1 species
AUUGAACGCUGGCGGCAGGCCUAACACAUGCAAGUCGAACGAGUGGCGGACGGGUGAGUAAUGUCUGGGAAACUGCCUGAUGGAGGGGGAUAACUACUGGAAACGGUAGAUAAUACCGCAUACCAUCGGAUGUGCCAAGAUGGGAUUAGCUAGUAGGUGGGGUAAAGGCUCACCUAGGCGACGAGCCCUAGCUGGUCUGCGAGGAUGACCAGCCACACUGCACCGGAGCCACGGUCCAGACUCCUACGUGAGUCAGCAGUGGGUAAUCUUGCACAAUGGGCACAAGCCUUCUGCAGCCAUGCCGCGUGUAUGAAGAAGGCCUUCGGGUUGUAAAGUACUUUCAGCGGGGAGGCGUUACCCGCAGAAGAAGCACCGGCUAACUCCGUGCCAGCAGCCGCGGUAAUUC